UACGUAGGGUGCGAGCGUUAAUCGGAAUUACUGGGCGUAAAGCGUGCGCAGGCGGUGAUGUAAGACAGAUGUGAAAUCCCCGGGCUCAACCUGGGAACUGCCUUUGUGACUGCAUAGCUAGAGUACGGUAGAGGGGGAUGGAAUUCCGCGUGUAGCAGUGAAAUGCGUAGAUAUGCGGAGGAACACCGAUGGCGAAGGCAAUCCCCUGGACCUGUACUGACGCUCAUGCACGAAAGCGUGGGGAGCAAACAGG
rnacentral:rRNA from 1 species